ACCAACCAUUUAAUUCCAAGAGCUACCUGCCAGCCCAACAAACAACCACAGCAUCCAGAAUAAUUCUCUACCUGGGGUCAGACACUGGCAAUCAAAAGUAUCAAACAUUAUUGGAAAGAUAAGGAAUAACAUACUCGUAACUGCUCCACUAUGGGGCUGCUGAGGUCCAUCCUGUGGUUGGAUAGAACCCUAUGAACAAAGAACUUGCAGCAGAAAUGCUUGGAUGAUGCAGAACAGAAUCCAACCCAUGAAAUUCUCUAACCAAAAACCAGGAUCCUAUGUCAAGACCCCUGAAUAACUUCUCCAACUAGGCCUGGGAGUGCUCAAGGCAGGAAGGAGGAGGUGCAAUCAAUCCUCAGAGGAGCUGCCUUUGGAACUCUUUGUGCUCUGGGUUCCCACAAGUGGACUAUGACAGCCCUGGUUGCUCCUUUCUUCUUGUUGUGAAGGCCACUCACUCUCCCCUGCGUUUCCCUCUUCCUCUGAAGCUGCUGUCUGCAAGCAUCUCCCAAGCCCUCUCCAGCAGCAUGUUAACAGAAUUCUACAUAUUUUGGGUAACACCCCUGUAUCGCAUCUGUGUUUUGCAAAGAUUUUCUCCCAGUCUGUGGCUUGU